UGGGGAAUUUUGGACAAUGGGCGAAAGCCUGAUCCAGCAAUGCCGCGUGUGUGAAGAAGGCCUUCGGGUUGUAAAGCACUUUUGUCCGGAAAGAAAUCCUUGGCUCUAAUGCAGUCGGGGGAUGACGGUACCGGAAGAAUAAGCACCGGCUAACUACGUGCCAGCAGCCGCGGUAAUACGUAGGGUGCAAGCGUUAAUCGGAAUUACUGGGCGUAAAGCGUGCGCAGGCGGUUUGCUAAGACCGAUGUGAAAUCCCCGGGCUCAACCUGGGAACUGCAUUGGUGACUGGCAGGCUAGAGUAUGGCAGAGGGGGGUAGAAUUCCACGUGUAGCAGUGAAAUGCGUAGAGAUGUGGAGGAAUACCGAUGGCGAAGGCAGCCCCCUGGGCCAAUACUGACGCUCAUGCACGAAAGCGUGGGGAGCAAACAGGAUUAGAUACCCUGGUAGUCCACGCCCUAAACGAUGUCAACUAGUUGUUGGGGAUUCAUUUCCUUAGUAACGUAGCUAACGCGUGAAGUUGACCGCCUGGGGAGUACGUCGCAAGAUUAAAACUCAAAGGAAUUG
rnacentral:rRNA from 1 species